AGUUCCUGAUCUACAUGAAUCUACUACAGAGACUUCUCAACGCUGCCUGUAAUAGGAAAUGCUGGUCUACAGAAAACCAGGUCAACACACAGCCAUUCUCUCAGGAGAGCUGAAGGAUGGCUCGGGGAACUUCACGUGUGGAACAUGAAUCGCACACUCACCAAGUAGACCCUGACACCCGCAGCGGCUGUGUGGUGAGCACACAGAGAAAGAAUCGGGCACAGAUGUGGAAAAUAGAAAAUCCCCAAGUUUAUUUCUUUCCUCACUCUGCUCUGAAUACAGAAGCAUGCAGACGGGUGGAUUUUGCUGGGUCAAAUGCUUUCUUGCUGAUUCACUACUGUGGAUACAAUUGCUAGAGACAAAGGAUGUUUCCUGAGCUCCACGGCCCUUCUCUAGCUACUCAUCGGCUUCUAUGUUGACUGAUUUAAUAGCUUUGAUUCCCAGUCUCAGAAAUAACUUUGUGCCUGUGUUUCAUAGGAGUGGACUUAUUAGUACUUUCCUGAUGAGAUUGAUUGAAUUCUUUACCUGAAUUAGAAAACAAAGGAAAGUUAAAGUACAAUAUUCCCCAAAUAGUUCCAAUAUUUCUACCUUUGCGUUCUGUCUUUUGUCUUAACAAAUUUGAUUAAAUUUAAAAUUAAAAUUUAAUGAUGGUAAUGCACUGAAUACAUCAAUAUAUUUUGAUGACAUUACCGCAGCGCAGUGUUGAAUUUUGUAUUCUAUCUGGGUCAGCUAUGUAAAUCGACAACAUUAAUGAGCUUUUAUUAAAUCAUCUUAGUAAAAGCUCCACUGUCUUAACUGUUUACUUAAUUCUACAGCCAACAAAAAACAGCUGUCACCUUCUGACAGAUCUUAUUCAGAAUGAGAGUCUUCUUCUUACAGGGGGGAAAAUUUGAUGUAAGCUGUAAUCCAACAGUGAUGUCAUAUUUAGAGUCCACAAAAUGGACGCUGUUAUAAAAUUCAGGCCUUAUAGAUCCCACCUUGCUGUUAGAGAAACAGGAAUGAGGGGAAGAAGUUCAAGGGGAAUGCUGUGCUUCUGUCAUUUGUUUUAUAUACAGAGUGUUACUCUGCAGAGAGCACGGAAUUACUUAUAGACAUCUGCACUGACUUGGGGGAUCCAACCCCUGAGAAAAUUUUGAGCCAGACUGACAUAGCUAGGCAGCAACCCACUUCCUGCUCCUGAACAAGAAAUGUUCCCUAGGUAAGUUGAUAUAUCACUUAAUGGCUACAUAAUUAAUACAUUUUUCAACAUUGUUAAGAUAGCAUAGGUUUUUUUCCACCCCUAAACAGUAAGUUUAAACAGCAUAUUCAAAUAAAGUCUGGCACACACACACACACACACACACACAAAAUAAACUCCUGUAUUCAAGAAACAAGACCAGGAGUUCCUCG